AUUCCCGGUGUAGCGGUGAAAUGCGUAGAUAUCGGGAAGAACACCAGUGGCGAAGGCGCUCUGCUGGGCCAUCACUGACGCUCAUGGACGAAAGCCAGGGGAGCGAAAGGGAUUAGAUACCCCUGUAGUCCUGGCCGUAAACGAUGAACACUAGGUGUCGGGGGAAUCGACCCCUCCGGUGUCGUAGCCAACGCGUUAAGUGUUCCGCCUGGGGAGUACGCACGCAAGUGUGAAACUCAAAGGAAUUGACGGGGGCCCGCACAAGCGGUGGAGUAUGUGGUUUAAUUCGAUGCAACGCGAAGAACCUUACCAGGGUUUGACAUCCUGCGAAUCUCUUGGAAACUUGAGAGUGCCUUCGGGAGCGCAGUGACAGGUGGUGCAUGGCUGUCGUCAGCUCGUGUCGUGAGAUGUUGGGUUAAGUCCCGCAACGAGCGCAACCCACGUCUUUAGUUGCCAGCAUUUAGUUGGGCACUCUAGAGAGACCGCCGGUGAUAAACCGGAGGAAGGUGUGGAUGACGUCAAGUCAUCAUGCCCCUUACAUCCUGGGCUACACACGUACUACAAUGCUACGGACAAAGGGCAGCAAGUUCGCGAGGACAAGCAAAUCCCAUAAACCGUGGCUCAGUUCAGAUCGUAGGCUGCAACUCGCCUACGUGAAGGAGGAAUCGCUAGUAAUCGCAGGUCAGCAUACUGCGGUGAAUACGUUCCCGGCCCUUGCACACACCGCCCG
rnacentral:rRNA from 1 species